AUUGAACGCUGGGCGGCAUAGCCUAACACAUGCAAGUCGAACGGUAACAGGCCCUUCGGGGUGCUGACGAGUGGCGGAUGGGGUGAGUAAUACUUAGGAAUCUACCCUGUAGUGGGGGACGAACCCGGGGAAACUCGGGCUAAUACCGCAUACGCUCUACGGAGGAAAGCGGGGGACCGCAAGGCCUCGCGCUAUUGGAUGAGCCUAAGCCCGAUUAGCUAGUUGGUGGGGUAAUAGCCUACCAAGGCAAUGAUCGGUAGCUGGUCUGAGAGGACGACCAGCCACA
rnacentral:rRNA from 1 species